rnacentral:rRNA from 1 species
CAGCAGCCACGGUAAUACGAAGGGGGCUAGCGUUGUUCGGAAUUACUGGGCGUAAAGCGUACGUAGGCGGCUUUGUAAGUUAGAGGUGAAAGCCUGGUGCUCAACACCAGAACUGCCUUUAAGACUGCAUCGCUUGAACGUCGGAGAGGUGAGUGGAAUUCCGAGUGUAGAGGUGAAAUUCGUAGAUAUUCGGAAGAACACCAGUGGCGAAGGCGGCUCACUGGACGACUGUUGACGCUGAGGUACGAAAGCGUGGGGAGCAAACAGGAUUAGAUACCCGCGUAGUCCCUGUCUCUUAUAC